GAUGAAGAACGUAGCGAAAUGCGAUAAGUAAUGUGAAUUGCAGAAUUCAGUGAAUCAUCGAAUCUUUGAACGCACAUUGCGCCCGCCAGCAUUCUGGCGGGCAUGCCUGUUCGAGCGUCAUUUCAACCCUCGAGCCCCCCCGGGGGCCUCGGUGUUGGGGGACGGCACACCAGCCGCCCCCGAAAUGCAGUGGCGACCCCGCCGCAGUCUCCCCUGCGUAGUAGCACACACCUCGCACCGGAGCGCGGAGGCGGUCACGCCGUAAAACGCCCAACUUUCUUAGAGUUGACCUCGGAUCAGGUAGGAAUACCCGCUGAACUUAAGCAUAUCAAUAAGCGGAGGA
rnacentral:misc_RNA from 1 species